UCCGGCGGGUGCCCUCUUUCUCCGGCUUCACUGGGUUUAAAGGGUGCGUAGGCGGACAGGUAAGUCAGUGGUGAAAUCUCCGAGCUUAACUCGGAAACUGCCGUUGAUACUAUUUGUCUUGAAUACUGUGGAGGUAAGCGGAAUAUGUCAUGUAGCGGUGAAAUGCUUAGAUAUGACAUAGAACACCAAUUGCGAAGGCAGCUUACUACACAGCGAUUGACGCUGAGGCACGAAAGCGUGGGGAUCAAACAGG
rnacentral:rRNA from 1 species